rnacentral:rRNA from 1 species
CUUGCAAUCAGCAAAAGAGGUUGGUCAUCCAUCACAGACCUACAUUUAUAC